GCAUUUUCCUAGGCACCUGGCCAGCCGAGGCGGGGGCGCCGGGGCUGGGGCCGGGAGCCUCGGAGGGCGCAGGUCCGCCUCCCGCGAUGCCGAAGGUGCCCCUGGGGAGUCUGAGGAACCUGCAGCCCCGGCCUCGCCGCUGAGGCUGCAGAAGAUGUCAAUGUUACUUUCGAAGAUCAACAAAAGAUAAACAAAUUUGCACGGAAUACAAGUAGAAUCACAGAGCUGAAGGAAGAAAUAGAAGUAAAAAAGAAACAACUCCAAAACCUAGAAGAUGCUUGUGAUGACAUCAUGCUUGCAGAUGAUGACUGCUUAAUGAUACCUUAUCAAAUUGGUGAUGUCUUCAUUAGUCAUUCUCAAGAAGAAACACAAGAAAUGUUAGAAGAAGCAAAGAAAAAUUUGCAAGAAGAAAUUGACGCCUUAGAAUCCAGAGUGGAAUCAAUUCAGCGGGUGUUAGCAGAUUUGAAAGUUCAGUUGUAUGCAAAAUUUGGGAGCAACAUAAACCUUGAAGCUGAUGAAAGUUAAACAUUUUAUAAUACUUUUUUUAUUUGUUUAAUAAACUUGAAUAUUGUUUAAAAUGAUAAUUUUCCUUCUUCAAAUGACAUGGAAAGCAAAACUUUCUUUUUUUAAAAUUUUCAUUUAUUUAAUGGAAACUUGCCU
rnacentral:sRNA from 1 species